GACGAACGCUGGCGGCGUGCUUAACACAUGCAAGUCGAACGGGCCUGUCUUCUUUUUUGGGGGUGGGUUGAGUGGCGAACGGGUGAGUAUCACGUGAGUAACCUGCCCUUCGGUCCUGGAUAACCGCUUGAAAGGGCGGCUAAUACGGGGUGGUCCGGUUGGUCCGCAUGGGCUGGUCGGGAUAGAUUCACUGUUUUUGGUGUUUCGGCGGGGGAUGGGCUCGCGUCCUAUCAGCUUGUUGGUGGGGUGAUGGCCUACCAAGGCGGUGACGGGUAGCCGGCCUGAGAGGGUGGGCGGCCACACUGGGACUGAGAUACGGCCCAGACUCCUGCGGGAGGCAGCAGUGGGGGGUAUUGCACAAUGGGCGGAAGCCUGAUGCAGCGACGUCGCGUGAGGGAUGGAGGCCUUCGGGUUGUGAACCUCUGUUUCCGGUGGUGAAGGCCCUGUCCGUGUGGUGGGGUUGACGGUAGCCGGGGAUGAAGCGCCGGCUAACUACGUG
rnacentral:rRNA from 1 species